GACGAACGCUGGCGGCGUGCCUAACACAUGCAAGUCGAACGGUAAGGCCCCUUCAGGGGUUUCCGGGUAGCGAAGGGGUGCGUAACACGCGGGCAAGCUGCCCACGCCUUUGGGAUAUCAGCCGUAAAGAGCUGCUACUAACGGAAAUGACUUCUUAUCCCACAGGUUGAGGUGGUACGCCACGGCGGUCAGGGAUGGGAUCGCCGCCUUUCAGCUUGCUGGGGAGGUAAUGGCUCACCAAGGCUUCGAGGGGUUGCCGGCCUGAGGGGGGGACCGGCCACACUGGGACGGAGAUACGGCACAGACUCCUACGGGAGGCAGCGGUGGGGAGGAGGGCACAGUGGGCGCGAGCCAGAUGCAGCGACGCCGCGUGCGGGAAGACGGCCUUCGGGUUGGUAACCGCUUUCAGUAGAGACGAAGCGAACGUGACGGUACCUACAGAAGAAGGACCGGCUAACUACGUG
rnacentral:rRNA from 1 species